CAGAGAUCUCCUCCCGCUGCUCCUUGUUUCUGCGGACUUCGGCAGCAUGGAGCUCCUGCAAAGACACGGAAGGUUUUAGCUGGGAACGAUUUAAGUCAGGGACGGGAGGGAAAAAAUUAGGGCCUUGUGGAGAACCUCCCGCUCGUGCUCCCGCUUCUCGGCCAGCUGCUUUAGUACCUGCGCCUCCUGAGUCUGGCAAAGCAAAGGACUCCCGGUGACAACCCGAGCCCUCUUCCUUCCAUCCCCAAAGGCUCUGUCUAACGGUAAACAGCCCUCCAAGGGCUCUCCCCGGGCAGAUACCCAGCAGAAAGGUCAGAGACCAAUCCUUUAAACAACUGAGGUGCUGUGGCCCAGAGCAACUUCCCUAGAUGGGGCUCAGUAAAUUGGGGGUCCAUCAUUUGCCCUAAAGCAAAACAUCUCUCAACCAUUGGCCUCUGGGGCUGAAGCCCCUCCCACAAACCUCUUGCGCACCACUGUGGGACUUUUUUUUUUCUCCCACAAAAUGUAACCUUCCCCAAAUCACUAUUUUCAGUUUGUCACUCCUGCAGAGUAACUUUCAGGGGUUCUAAAACAUCAAACUCUCUAAUCCAAUCCCACUGACAUUUAUUUAACCCUUCCUCUACAUUGCAACCCUCCUCACUUGCUCUAGGAAUGUAAGAUGCAGGUUGGGCUAGUACAGCAGCCUGGGAACCAACUUCGGGCCUCAGAUCUCCCCCUGGCCCCAUCCUGCUGGCCCCAAGGCUGCCAGGGACUCCCUCCCACCCCUAGCAUCCAAUAAUAGCUCCUCUGGGGUUUAAAGCUCUUCACCCCGUGGCCCUUGCCUACCUUUGCAGUCUUACUACAUCUUAUUUCCCUACAAACCUAGAGUCUAGCCAUUUUUGCUGUGCCUCACAAAGGCCCCCCAUUCUCUAGAUUUGCAUGGUUGCCUAUGCCUGGAAUAGUUGUCUUUGUGUAACCUUCAAGGAUCUCUGUAUCUACUUUGUGUACACCCUGUCUAUACCCAAAUGUAUUCCAGGCCACACGUUCAUGAAGGGAUGCUUCUUUAGGGCAGAAGCUUUUUUACUUUGUGUCCCCAGUGUUGAGUACCAUCCCCAGCAUAUUGUAAAGGUUUGAUUUGAAAGGGAACUAGGCCAACGAACCUGGCGUAGAUAAACACCCUUCCUAGGCCAAUGAACCCUGUGUGAUAACCACAUUGACCUCUCCAUCCUGUGUGACUACCCUCGGUAAGCUCCAUGGUCAGCCCCAAGGGUAUAUAAGCCUGCCUUGAAAGUUGCUUCGGGGAGGAACUCCCUUUGGGCUCCUCCCUGCGCGUGUGGAAGUGUGUUACAAUAAAAUACCUCUCUGUGCA